UGCAUGGUCAUAGGCCUGAUCUUCCUGC
rnacentral:piRNA from 1 species